UACGAAGGGGGCUAGCGUUGUUCGGAUUUACUGGGCGUAAAGCGCACGUAGGCGGUUUGUUAAGUCGGGGGUGAAAUCCUGGAGCUCAACUCCAGAAUUGCCUUCGAUACUGGCUUUCUAGAGGCUGGAAGAGGUUAGUGGAAUUCCCAGUGUAGAGGUGAAAUUCGUAGAUAUUGGGAAGAACACCAGUGGCGAAGGCGGCUAACUGGUCCAGAUCUGACGCUGAGGUGCGAAAGCGUGGGGAGCAAACAGG
rnacentral:rRNA from 1 species